CCCUCCCUCUGGCGGCAUGCCUAACACAUGCAAGUCGAACGAGACCUUCGGGUCUAGUGGCGCACGGGUGCGUAACGCGUGGGAAUCUACCCUCAGGUUCGGAAUAACUCAGAGAAAUUUGAGCUAAUACCGGAUGAUGACGUAAGUCCAAAGAUUUAUCGCCUGAGGAUGAGCCCGCGUAGGAUUAGGUAGUUGGUGAGGUAAAGGCUCACCAAGCCGACGAUCCUUAGCUGGUCUGAGAGGAUGAUCAGCCACACUGGGACUGAGACACGGCCCAGACUCCUACGGGAGGCAGCAGUGGGGAAUAUUGGACAAUGGGCGAAAGCCUGAUCCAGCAAUGCCGCGUGAGUGAUGAAGGCCUUAGGGUUGUAAAGCUCUUUUACCCGGGAUGAUAAUGACAGUACCGGGAGAAUAAGCUCCGGCUAACUCCGUG
rnacentral:rRNA from 1 species